rnacentral:lncRNA from 1 species
CCCGGGGCCCCCAGCCUGGCCCUUCCGCCUCCUCACUCCUUUCCCAGUUCCGAAGUCCUUCCUGGCAGACAGCCAUGCACACACCAGGCCCCACGGAACUCUUCAUCUCUGGUGCCCUCCCAGGUUCCAGCACCUUCCCGUCUUCCUCUGCCCUGUCUGCCUACCAGCACCCGGCUUCCUUCGGCAGCCGCCCCUUCCCAGUGCCCUCAUCCCUCAGCCUCCAGGAUCCACCCUUCAGUCCUCCUGCUAAUGGGCUCUUGUCCCCCCAUGAUGUGCUCCACCUGAAGCCCUCCCAGGCUCCUACAGUGCCCUCUUCAUUGGGUUUUGAGCGCCUGGCAGGGG